UACAGAGACUGCAAGCGUUAUUCGGAUUCACUGGGCGUAAAGGGCUCGUAGGUGGCCAACUAAGUCAGACGUGAAAUCCCUCGGCUUAACCGGGGAACUGCGUCUGAUACUGGAUGGCUUGAGUUCGGGAGAGGGAUGCGGAAUUCCAGGUGUAGCGGUGAAAUGCGUAGAUAUCUGGAGGAACACCAAUGGCGAAGGCAGCACUCUGGGACGUGACUGACGCUGAGACGCGAAAGCGUGGGGAGCAAACAGG
rnacentral:rRNA from 1 species